UACGUAGGCAGCAAGCGUUGUUCGGAUUCAUUGGGCGUAAAGGGUGCGUAGGUGGCGCGCUAAGUCAGGUGUGAAAUCUCGGGGCUUAACUCCGAAACUGCAUUCGAUACUGCCGUGCUUGAGGACUGGAGAGGAGACUGGAAUUUACGGUGUAGCGGUGAAAUGCGUAGAUAUCGUAAGGAAGACCAGUGGCGAAGGCGGGUCUCUGGACAGUUCCUGACGCUGAGGAGCGAAAGCCAGGGGAGCAAACGGG
rnacentral:rRNA from 1 species